GCCCUCAUAGCUCAGUGGAUAGAGCGUCGGCCUCCGGAGCCGAAGACUCAGGUUCGAGUCCUGAUGAGGGUA
rnacentral:tRNA from 1 species